GGGUCCGCACAAGCGGUGGAGCAUGUGGUUUAAUUCGAUGAUACGCGAGGAACCUUACCUGGGCUCGAACACUAUUAGACGAUACCUGAAAGGGUAUUUCUCUUCGGAGCUGGUAGUGAGGUGCUGCAUGGUUGUCGUCAGCUCGUGCCGUGAGUGUUGGGUUAAGUCCCGCAACGAGCGCAACCCCCUAUCUUCAGUUGCCAGCACGUAAUGGUGGGAACUCUAGGGAGACUGCCGGUGACAAACCGGAGGAAGGUGGGGGACGACGUCAAGUCAUCAUGGCCCUUACGGCCUGGGCUACACACGUGCUACAAUGGCUAGGACAGAGCGGCCGCAAACCCGCGAGGGGGAGCCAA
rnacentral:rRNA from 1 species